GACGAACGCUGGCGGCGUGCUUAACACAUGCAAGUCGAGCGGUAAGGCCCUUUCGGGGUACGACGAGCGGCGAACGGGUGAGUAACACGUGGGUGACCUGCCCUCAGCUCUGGGAUAAGCCUGGGAAACGUAGGGUCGUAAUACCGGAUAUGACUCCAUGACGCAUGUUGUGGGGUGGAAAGCCUUGUGCGGCUGAGGAUGGGCCCGCGGCCUAUCAGCUUGUUGGUGGGGU
rnacentral:rRNA from 1 species